AACGCGAAGAACCUUACCUAGGCUUGAAAAGCUUAUGACCGGCUGUGAAAGCAGCUUUCCCGCAAGGGCAUAAGUACAGGUGCUGCAUGGCUGUCGUCAGCUCGUGCCGUGAGGUAUUGGGUUAAGUCCCGCAACGAGCGCAACCCUUACCAUUAGUUGCCACCGGAGCAAUCCGAGCACUCUAAUGGAACUGCCUACGCAAGUAGUGAGGAAGGUGAGGAUGACGUCAAGUCCGCAUGGCCCUUACGCCUAGGGCUACACACGUGCUACAAUGGCCGCCACAACGGGCAGCAAAAUCGCGAGAUGGAGCGAAUCCCUAAAAAGCGGCCUCAGUUCGGAUUGGAGUCUGCAACUCGACUCCAUGAAGUUGGAAUUGCUAGUAAUCGCGUAUCAGCAUGACGCGGUGAAUACGUUCCCGGGCCUUGUACACACCGCCCGUAAUCAC
rnacentral:rRNA from 2 species